CCAGACCACCUGUGAAGUGACAUUGGUGUCAGUUGAGACACAAACGGAUGCUCUACCAGAGAGGCGCCCAAACCGUGCAAUUCUCGCAUGGCAGAGCUUCCGUGAGAGCCUGCGUGGUCUGCGCAACCGCCUUCUGCACGGCUCUGAUGCUUCCUAAACGGUCUUCAGUGGUAGCUAGCACACCUAUGAAGAACACCCUACAGCAACAAUUUAUUAAGAUACGCUGUUUCUCAGGGUGCUAGCUACCACAACAAGCAGACCAUACGUAAGUGCCACACCCUUAAAAACAUAUCAAGUAAAGAAGAGGGGUAAUUUAAA